rnacentral:rRNA from 1 species
CCUACGGGUGGCAGCAGUGAGGAAUAUUGGUCAAUGGACGAGAGUCUGAACCAGCCAAGUAGCGUGAAGGAUGACUGCCCUAUGGGUUGUAAACUUCUUUUAUAUGGGAAUAAAACAGGGUAUGCAUACCCUCUUGUAUGUACCAUAUGAAUAAGGAUCGGCUAACUCCGUGCCAGCAGCCGCGGUAAUACGGUGGAUCCGAUCUUUAUCCGGAUUUAUUGGGUUUAAAGGGUUAACAGGCGGUCGGUUAAGUCAGCGGUCAAAGCCCGGGGCUAAACCCCGGCCCGCCGUUGAAACUGGCAGUCUCGAGUUGGAGAGAAGUAUGCGGAAUGCGCGGUGUAGCGGUGAAAUGCAGAGAUAUCGCGAAGAACUCCGAUUGCGAAGGCAGCAUGCCGGCUCCACACUGACGCUGAGGCACGAAAGCGUGGGUAUCGAACAGGAUUAGAUACCCCAGUAGUC